GACGAACGCUGGCGGCGUGCUUAACACAUGCAAGUCGAACGGAAAGGCCCUGCUUUUGUGGGGUGCUCGAGUGGCGAACGGGUGAGUAACACGUGAGUAACCUGCCCUUGACUUUGGGAUAACUUCAGGAAACUGGGGCUAAUACCGGAUAGGAGCUCCUGCUGCAUGGUGGGGGUUGGAAAGUUUCGGCGGUUGGGGAUGGACUCGCGGCUUAUCAGCUUGUUGGUGGGGUAGUGGCUUACCAAGGCUUUGACGGGUAGCCGGCCUGAGAGGGUGACCGGCCACAUUGGGACUGAGAUACGGACCAGACUCCAACGGGAGGCAGCAGUGGGGAAUAUUGCACAAUGGGCCGAAGCCUGAUGCAGCAACGCCGCGUGCGGGAUGACGGCCUUCGGGUUGUAAACCGCUUUCGCCUGUGACGAAGCGUGAGUGACGGUAAUGGGUAAAGAAGCACCGGCUAACUACGUG
rnacentral:rRNA from 1 species